rnacentral:tRNA from 1 species
GGAGAGUUGGCCGAGUGGUUUAAGGCGCCGGUCUUGAAAACCGGUGUUUCCGAAAGGAACCGUGGGUUCGAAUCCCACAUUCUCCG